UUGAUUUGCUUAACUGGUGGAAGGUUAACUCACAUAGAUUUCCAGUGGUGUCGAGGAUGGCAAAGAAGUUCUUAACUGUUCCAGCUACAUCUGUUUCUUCUGAGUCUACUUUUAGCGCUAGUGGUCGAACUCUAGAUGACUAUCGUAGCUCUCUAAGCCCUUCUACGGUGGAGACAUUGAUAUGCUCCUCUAGUUGGAUUCGAGGUGCACAUGAUGGGAGUUUUACAUAUGUGGAGCAAGAGGACGAUGUUGAAAACAUUUCAUUUCCAAAAAGUUUGGUGGAGAGCAACUAGAUUAUCCUUUUCAACAGCAUGGAUGAACUGUUCUGUAAUCUACUUUUUAGUUUUUGGAUGAAGAACUAUGCAAAUGCAACUAUGCAAGUAUCUGUUCUGUUUAGACUUUAGACAAUAUAUGCUAUCAUGUUGGCAUGCUGGCAUGCUGCUUAUUCUGGACUUGAGAGUAUCUGUUCUGGACAAUAUAUGCUAUCAUAUUGUUUUA